UCAUUUUCAGUUACCCGUUGCUUCUCUCAUUCUCGCGAAGCAUCGCCAUCAAACCAUACCUCGAGUUCUCUCUCCUGCAACAGCCACCGUUCUUCACAUAUCCACCUUUUCUCCUCACAUUUCUACCUUAUUUCAGCUAUUUCGGCCUUAGAAACAUCAUCUUCACCGAUGAGUUCUUCGAUCUGAGGCCUCCGCUAGGGUUUCCCUCAUCUUUCAUCUUUUUCUUUGAUUUUAACCGUUUAAAUCCUCUUUUGCUUCGAUUAAACACUUUCCACCGUUUAAUCGGUUAACCUAGUGUUUUAAGGUUCUUUCACCGUUCGAUUUAGGGUUUCCUUGCUUCAUUCACAGUUUUGGUUCAUUUGCUCUUGGAUUCGUAUCAUUCCGCUGCGUUUCACUCUUUGAGGGAGCUUCGAAGGAGUUCAUAGCGUGUUCGUUUGUAGUAAUUGGUGGGGAUUGUGUUUGGAUUGGUGGAGAAAUUAGCGGCGUUAGCACGAGAGAGAGGAGGAGGGAGCCUUGAAUGCCGAAUCCACGACAGUGAUUGGAGAAUUUUGAAGAUAUGGGAUACUGCUGGGCAAGAGAGAUUCCAAAGUCUCGGGGUUGCAUUUUAUAGAGGCGCGGAUUGCUGUGUUCUUGCGUAUGAUGUUAAUGUGAUGAAAUCUUUCGAUACCCUUGACAACUGGC